rnacentral:rRNA from 1 species
CUCUACGGAAUAACUCAGGGAAACUUGAACUAAUACCGUAUGCGCCCUUCGGGGGAAAGAUUUAUCGGAGUUGGAUGAGCCCAUGUCUGAUUAGCUAGUUGGUGGGGUAAAGGCCUACCAAGGCGACGAUCAGUAGCUGGUCUGAGAGGAUGAUCAGCCACACUGGGACUGAGACACGGCCCAGACUCCUACGGGAGGCAGCAGUGGGGAAUAUUGGACAAUGGGGGCAACCCUGAUCCAGCCAUGCCGCGUGAGUGAUGAAGGCCCUAGGGUUGUAAAGCUCUUUCACCGGUGAAGAUAAUGACGGUAACCGGAGAAGAAGCCCCGGCUAACUUCGUGCCAGCAGCCGCGGUAAUACGAAGGGGGCUAGCGUUGUUCGGAAUUACUGGGCGUAAAGCGCGCGUAGGCGGAUCGGUCAGUUAGGGGUGAAAUCCCGGGGCUCAACCCCGGAACUGCCUCUAAUACUGCCGAUCUAGAGUUCGAGAGAGGUGAGUGGGAAUUCCGAGUGUAGAGGUGAAAUUUCGUAGAUAUUUCGGAGGAAGCACCAGUGGGCGAAGGCGGCUUCACUGGCUCGAUACUGACGCUGAGGUGCG